rnacentral:rRNA from 1 species
GACGAACGCUGGCGGCGUGCCUAACACAUGCAAGUCGAGCGGGGUCCAUCCGGUAGCAAUACUGGGGAAGACCUAGCGGCGAACGGGUGAGUAACACGUGAGAAACCUGCCCCGAAGUCUGGGAUAACCCGAGGAAACUCGAGCUAAUACCGGAUGCCUUCUUCUGAUCGCAUGGUCGGAUGAAGAAAAGAUUUAUCGCUUCGGGAGGGUCUCGCGGCCUAUCAGCUAGUUGGCGGGGUAACGGCCCACCAAGGCGUCGACGGGUAGCUGGUCUGAGAGGACGAUCAGCCACACUGGGACUGAGACACGGCCCAGACUCCUACGGGAGGCAGCAGUGGGGAAUAUUGCGCAAUGGGCGAAAGCCUGACGCAGCAACGCCGCGUGCGGGAUGAAGGCCU